UGAGGAAUUUUGCACAAUGGAGGAAACUCUGAUGCAGCGACGCCGCGUGUAUGAUGAAGGGGCUUUGCCCUGUAAAGUACUGUCGGAUAGGAAAAAAAGUUCGUUAGACGGACUGGGAUUGUACUAUCAAAGGAAGGGACGGCUAACUACGUGCCAGCAGCCGCGGUAAUACGUAGGUCCCGAGCGUUGUCCGGAAUUACUGGGUGUAAAGGGUGCGUAGGCGGACUUGUGCGUCGAGGGUUAAAUCUCCAGGCUCAACCUGGAACCUGCCUUCGAUACGGCAAGCCUUGAGUGUGAGAGAGGAUGAUAGAAUUCCUGGUGUAGCGGUGAAAUGCGUAGAUAUCAGGAGGAAUACCAGUGGCGAAGGCGGUCAUCUGGCUCAUUACUGACGCUGAGGCAC
rnacentral:rRNA from 1 species